UAGUGGGAGCAGAAGAUCUCAAUAAGGCUACUAUCGUAAUUUGAAAAUAUCCCCUUGACAAAGAUUACGCUUGCCUCGAGUCAUCAACAUCCACCCCCACCAAAUAUUAUCCCUUUUCUUCGUUUACUUUCUGUUAAGCGCCACCGUAACGACCACCGGCGCAAUUUCACGAUUACGGAGAGGAAACUCCAACCUCUAUGUGUCUAAUGGCGUUAUCCGACGCGGUUCUCGGUAAUCUCGCGACGAUCUACGUGGCGGUGAUUAUCGCGAUUAAGGUGUACGGGUUGGUCUCCGGGAGGAGCUUCAGCGCUGGAUUCGUCGUCUUCGUUUCGAUUACUGCCGUCGGCGUUUUGCUAGCGGUUACGCUAGCCUGGGACGUGUCUCGUAGAGCCGCGGAUGCGGUUUCGCGGUAUAAUCGUGUUGUUGCUGAGGAUCUUAGCCACCGUCACAAUCACGACGGUGGUGGAAUUUGUAAAGGAGGGAUUUGCUGGCACGGCGUUGCGGUCCGUUCGCCGGCUUCACAGGUUCGGUUUAGGCUUCCACAACACAUACCGUACGGAGCUUUCUGAGUAGUGGCAACUGGCAAGAAUUACCAUCAUGAUACCAUGUUGGGAGCAACGAUCCAGAAGUGGCAAAACCUUGCGGUUGCUAAAGGCAACCUAGUUAAUGCAAGCAGUAAUCUCUUAUUUCUCCAACAUGAUCAGAGAGAUUAGAUAUGGAUUAUUUUAAAGAAUCUAGUGUGGAACCAGAAGUCAAAGUUCCUAUUCCGUUAUUAUAUACACAAAUUUGUCUGAAGCAAGAAAUAGUUAAAUGUU